AUUGACCGCUGGCGGCAGGCCUAACACCUGCAAGUCGAGAGCGCGGCGGACGGGUGAGUAAUGUAUGGGGACUGCCCGAUAGAGGGGGGUAACUACUGGAAACGGUAGAUAAUACCGCACACUACCGGCUAACCCAUAUGGGAUGAGCUAGGAGGUGAGGUAAUGGCUCACCUAGGGGACGAUCCCGAGCUGGUCUGAGAGGAUGAUCAGCCACACUGGGACUGAGACAUGGCCCAGACUCCUACGGAGGCAGCAGUGGGGAAUAUUGCACAAUGGGCGCAAGCCUGAUGCAGCCAUGCCGCGUGUAUGAAGAAGGCCCUAGGGUUGUAAAGUACUUUCAGUCGGGAGGCGUUACCGACAGAAGAAGCACCGGCUAACUCCGUGCCAGCAGCCGCGGUAAUAC
rnacentral:rRNA from 1 species